AGAGUUUGAUCAUGGCUCAGGAUGAACGCUAGCUACAGGCUUAACACAUGCAAGUCGAGGGGCAGCAUGGUCUUAGCUUGCUAAGGCCGAUGGCGACCGGCGCACGGGUGAGUAACACGUAUCCAACCUGCCGUCUACUCUUGGACAGCCUUCUGAAAGGAAGAUUAAUACAAGAUGGCAUCAUGAGUCCGCAUGUUCACAUGAUUAAAGGUAUUCCGGUAGACGAUGGGGAUGCGUUCCAUUAGAUAGUAGGCGGGGUAACGGCCCACCUAGUCUUCGAUGGAUAGGGGUUCUGAGAGGAAGGUCCCCCACAUUGGAACUGAGACACGGUCCAAACUCCUACGGGAGGCAGCAGUGAGGAAUAUUGGUCAAUGGGCGAGAGCCUGAACCAGCCAAGUAGCGUGAAGGAUGACUGCCCUAUGGGUUGUAAACUUCUUUUAUAAAGGAAUAAAGUCGGGUGUGCAUACCCGUUUGCAUGUACUUUAUGAAUAAGGAUCGGCUAACUCCGUGCCAGCAGCCGCGGUAAUACGGAGGAUCCGAGCGUUAUCCGGAUUUAUUGGGUUUAAAGGGAGCGUAGAUGGAUGUUUAAGUCAGUUGUGAAAGUUUGCGGCUCAACCGUAAAAUUGCAGUUGAUACUGGAUAUCUUGAGUGCAGUUGAGGCAGGCGGAAUUCGUGGUGUAGCGGUGAAAUGCUUAGAUAUCACGAAGAACUCCGAUUGCGAAGGCAGCCUGCUAAGCUGCAACUGACAUUGAGGCUCGAAAGUGUGGGUAUCAAACAGGAUUAGAUACCCUGGUAGUCCACACGGUAAACGAUGAAUACUCGCUGUUUGCGAUAUACAGCAAGCGGCCAAGCGAAAGCGUUAAGUAUUCCACCUGGGGAGUACGCCGGCAACGGUGAAACUCAAAGGAAUUGACGGGGGCCCGCACAAGCGGAGGAACAUGUGGUUUAAUUCGAUGAUACGCGAGGAACCUUACCCGGGCUUAAAUUGCAGAUGAAUUACGGUGAAAGCCGUAAGCCGCAAGGCAUCUGUGAAGGUGCUGCAUGGUUGUCGUCAGCUCGUGCCGUGAGGUGUCGGCUUAAGUGCCAUAACGAGCGCAACCCUUGUUGUCAGUUACUAACAGGUUCUGCUGAGGACUCAGACAAGACUGCCAUCGUAAGAUGUGAGGAAGGUGGGGAUGACGUCAAAUCAGCACGGCCCUUACGUCCGGGGCUACAUACGUGUUACAAUGGGGGGUACAGAGGGCCGCUACCACGCGAGUGGAUGCCAAUCCCCAAAACCUCUCUCAGUUCGGACUGGAGUCUGCAACCCGACUCCACGAAGCUGGAUUCGCUAGUAAUCGCGCAUCAGCCACGGCGCGGUGAAUACGUUCCCGGGCCUUGUACACACCGCCCGUCAAGCCAUGGGAGCCGGGGGUACCUGAAGUGCGUAACCGCGAGGAGCGCCCUAGGGUAAAACUGGUGACUGGGGCUAAGUCGUAACAAGGUA
rnacentral:rRNA from 1 species